rnacentral:piRNA from 1 species
GUCGAUCUUGGAGGUAAGCAGGUACCCUGU